UUGGCGAAAAAAUCUAGAUUCACUACACCAUAACACACUUGAUUGGGGGCAGUUAACUGCCGGGAGAAUUACCAAUAUAAAGGCAAACAAACUGCCGGGGAUUAUUUAACUGCGGCACAAGUCCAUCCAGGCAGAAGAACUGCCGGUAGAAGUUGAGCAACAAGGACACAUUUACUGCCGGCGUUGAUAUCCACCAUUUAAGUCACUUUACCUGCCAGGAGAACUCAAUCUGGGCCCAUUAUCCGCCGUGAACUGUUCAUGGCGCGAAAACGAAAUAAUUGGCCCAACAGCGCGCUACCACGAUAAGCGCGCGAGAGCCGAAACUUAGCCGCAAAAAAAUAGAAAAAAGAAAAAAGAAAGAAACUUAGCCGCCGUCCCGACCAGAUCUAGCCCAAAUCGCCUCCUGCUCCGACCCUAGCCGCCGCCGCCGACCUCCCUCCGCCGCCCGACCCCAGCAGCCCUCGACCACCCAUCGCACCAGCCUUCCUCCCGGACCAAUGCUGCGGCCGAGCAACCUCCUCCGCCGCCGUCAAGUACCCUCCUCCGCAGAUCUCAUCCACCCUCCGCCACAUCCCUAGCGCCGCCCAAAUGUCGGCGCUCCCUCAAUGCUUUCUUCCUGGGCAACAGCGUCUCCUUGCAUCUCUCCUGAACUGUCGAGAUGAGGCGUGCAGCGGGAUAGGUUUUGGCGGCGCCGGCCCCUCCUGGUCGUCCUACUCCGGUGCGUGCUCCUCCGCCCCAGGUCACGUCGUGCUCUCCAGCCCGUCGUCGUGCGUGCUCCUCCGUCUCCCCCUCUUGUACUUCGAGCCUGAGAAUCACAAGUCAAUAGAUGUUGGUGUCUCAGAGCGACAGAGCACUCGGAUGGAUGAAUGUAUCUGGAACCGUCAGUCUCAGCCAGUGCAGACCACUCUAGCAACAGUUGACGCUUUGUUUUACUUGAUACAGUAGACACUGCAGGUUGGCUGCGUCCGUGCCGCUGCUUUGGCCUAAGAUGGAUUCAAUUAAUUGAGGAAAAAUAAGGGCAACAUCUAGGUGUCAAAGUAAUGAUAUACAGAUGAUAUCAGAGGGUCUUCCUCCUCUUUGAGCAAUACCAUCUUAGGUACAUGCAAAAGUAUAUACUUUGUUGCACGUAUCAGAUGUCCUCACAUAAAAAAGUCUUUACUUUUCCAUGCGAGCUAAGCAACAUAUGAAAUAGAAACACCUGUAUAUGUAUGUAGUUCUGUUCAUUUUUAACAUCCCGCCAUACAGGUAAUUAUAGUUUGUAGAUUGUAUGCUAUACUGACGUGCCUUUAGUUUGUCCUGGAAGAAAGGUUUCGAUGUUGUUUGAUGUAUGUCGUUUAUGAUCCCUUGAACAUACACAAUUUUAUUUUCUCAUCUAAUAGCUAAGAAAGAAGAUGCUUGAGAACUAUGGCUUAUGUACUCUUCAGAGGUACAUCGAGUACACAAUUCUGCUCCUUAGUUGCAUCUUAUUGUUACAUUACAGUCAGUUGUAGGAGUUGCAUAAUUUAUUUUGAAUAAUCAAUCUUGAUGUAUACCCCAUCAGAUGAAAGCAUACAAGCAAUGAGUGUAUCACCGAGAGGUGCUUCUUUCCUUUCUGCUCAUAUCUGUUUAUUAGUAGGAUUCUGAGAAGUAUAUAACAAGAUUCAUAGGAUGCAUCCUUAAAAAGUUCAAAAUUUAAUUGGAAAUCCAUCAAAUCAGAUCCAGUUUAGAUAUAUUUGUGUGUUUACUUUUUUAAAUUAAUAAUGUGCCGGUUAUGGUCACAUGGUCAACUUGAUUUGGAUAAAGGGAGAAACAUUAAUGAAGAAUGUGGUUAGAAGCAUGUUAGUUUUAGUAUUACAAAUCAUCAACCGUUUGUCUGCAGGCGCUUCCCUGUAGAAAAAUGAUCUGUGUUCAUUGGACCACCCUGGUUCGGAUUCCUCGCUACGCCACUACAUGAACCUGUGUUGUUUGUGCGAAAGGAAACAUCUCUCGUAAUGUUUAUACAUAGCUUGAAUUGUAAUGGAAAGUAUCAAUAUUUGUGAAUACGUACUCAACUGCAAUAAGAUCGGUACAGAUACACAUGGGGAGUUUGAAAACAUGCCAGUAGAAAUACAUGUCAGCUGCCUUAUGUAGUUGUAAGCUACUUUGUUGUUUGCAAAAUGAUUAUUAUGAAAGUAUGUAUUUGCUGUCUGAGCCUAUGUCCAUCUUUUGUGUGCUACAAUAUAGCUCAUUUAUCAAAGUUAUUAGCUCAUAGCAGUUGUACCAUCUUAUCU